rnacentral:rRNA from 1 species
AGCGGCGAACGGGUGAGUAAUGCAUCGGAACAUGUCCUGUCGUGGGGGAUAGCCCGGCGAAAGCCGGAUUAAUACCGCAUACGUCCGAGAGGAGAAAGUGGGGGACCCGCAAGGGCCUCACGCGAUUGGGUUGGCCGAUGUCCGAUUAGCUAGUUGGUGGGGUAAAGGCCUACCAAGGCGAUGAUCGGUAGCUGGUCUGAGAGGAUGAUCAGCCACACUGGGACUGAGACACGGCCCAGACUCCUACGGGAGGCAGCAGUGGGGAAUUUUGGACAAUGGGGGCAACCCUGAUCCAGCCAUUCCGCGUGAGUGAAGAAGGCCUUCGGGUUGUAAAGCUCUUUUGUCCGGAGCGAAAAGGCGAGCGUGAAUAUCGCUCGCUACUGACGGUACCGGAAGAAUAAGCACCGGCUAACUACGUGCCAGCAGCCGCGGUAAUACGUAGGGUGCGAGCGUUAAUCGGAAUUACUGGGCGUAAAGCGUGCGCAGGCGGUUUUGUAAGCCAGAUGUGAAAUCCCCGGGCUCAACCUGGGAAUGGCAUUUGGGACUGCAAGGCUCGAGUGCGGCAGAGGAGACUGGAAUUCCUGGUGUAGCAGUGAAAUGCGUAGAUAUCAGGAGGAAUACCGAUGGCGAAGGCAGGUCCCUGGGCUGACACUGACGCUCAUGCACGAAAGCGUGGGGAGCAAACAGGAUUAGAUACCCUG